UACGUAGGGUGCAGGCGUUAAUCGGAAUUACUGGGCGUAAAGCGUGCGCAGGCGGCUCCUUAAGUCAGGUGUGAAAUCCCCGGGCUUAACCUGGGAAUUGCGCUUGAAACUAGCGGGCUUGAGUGUGGCAGAGGGGGGUGGAAUUCCACGUGUAGCAGUGAAAUGCGUAGAGAUGUGGAGGAACACCGAUGGCGAAGGCAGCCCCCUGGGUCAACACUGACGCUCAUGCACGAAAGCGUGGGGAGCAAACAGG
rnacentral:rRNA from 1 species